GACGAACGCUGGCGGCGUGCUUAACACAUGCAAGUCGAACGAUGAAGCUGGAGCUUGCUCCGGUGGAUUAGUGGCGAACGGGUGAGUAACACGUGAGCAAUCUGCCCUUGACUCUGGGAUAACUGCGGGAAACUGUAGCUAAUACCGGAUACUUUCACUGGAAGGCAUCUUCUGGUGAAGAAAGAAUUUCGGUCAAGGAUGAGCUCGCGGCCUAUCAGCUUGUUGGUGAGGUAACGGCUCACCAAGGCGACGACGGGUAGCCGGCCUGAGAGGGUGACCGGGCACGCGGGGACUGAGACACGGCCGAGACUCCUACGGGAGGCAGCAGUGGGGAAUAUUGCACAAUGGGCGCGAGCCUGAUGCAGCAACGCCGCGUGAGGGAUGAAGGCCUUCGGGUUGUAAACCUCUUUUAGCAGGGAAGAAGCGAAAGUGACGGUACCUGCAGAAAAAGCACCGGCUAACUACGUGCCAGCCGCCGCAGUAA
rnacentral:rRNA from 1 species